UGGGAUGUAGCUCAGUGGUACAGCAUGUGCUUGGCACGCGCAAGGACCUGGGUUCAAUCCCAGUACCCAA
rnacentral:tRNA from 1 species